CCUACCUAUAGCAACACAUUUGCAGAAUAAUAGUUUAAGAUUGUCACUGACCAGAAUUUCAAUGCUCACAUUACAGCUUUAUGAAGCUUCAUAAGCCAGCGUGGUACAAAUUCUCCAAGGAUUUUUUUCCUGCUAUCCCCAAGAAAGUAGUGAGAAGUAAUUCCGUUACCUGAGAAAGGAGAAAACGAAGCUUUAGUAGUAAUUGAAGCUGCUGCACUUACUUUAGUUAAGGUGAACUGCUCUACUGAAUUUCCUGGAAAUAGUUUGUUCUACUGUUUCGAAAGGAGACCUGAACCAUGCAGAACUGUCUGUAGAACAGAAAAUGACCCUGUUUUAAAAUCUACCCACAGCUUUAGUACAUACUAGUUUCCUA